AGGACGAACGCUGGCGGCGUGCUUAACACAUGCAAGUCGAGCGGUAAGGCCUUUCGGGGUACACGAGCGGCGAACGGGUGAGUAACACGUGGGUGAUCUGCCCUGCACUUCGGGAUAAGCCUGGGAAACUGGGUCUAAUACCGGAUAUGACCUCCUAUCGCAUGGUGGGUGGUGGAAAGAUUUAUCGGUGCAGGAUGGGCCCGCGGCCUAUCAGCUUGUUGGUGGGGUAAUGGCCUACCAAGGCGACGACGGGUAGCCGACCUGAGAGGGUGACCGGCCACACUGGGACUGAGACACGGCCCAGACUCCUACGGGAGGCAGCAGUGGGGAAUAUUGCACAAUGGGCGAAAGCCUGAUGCAGCGACGCCGCGUGAGGAUGACGGCCUUCGGGUUGUAAACCUCUUUCAGCAGGACGAAGCGCAAGUGACGGUACCUGCAGAAGAAGCACCGGCUAAACUACGUGCCAGCAGCCGAC
rnacentral:rRNA from 1 species